rnacentral:rRNA from 1 species
UACGGGGGGGGCAAGCGUUGUUCGGAAUUACUGGGCGUAAAGGGCUCGUAGGCGGCCAACUAAGUCGAACGUGAAAUCCCUCAGCUUAACUGGGGAACUGCGUCCGAUACUGAUUGGCUUGAAUCCGGAAGAGGGAUGCGGAAUUCCAGGUGUAGCGGUGAAAUGCGUAGAUAUCUGGAGGAACACCGGUGGCGAAGGCGGCGUCCUGGACCAACACUGACACUGAGGAGCGAAAGCCAGGGGAGCAAACGGG